GACGAACGCUGGCGGCGUGCUUAACACAUGCAAGUCGAACGGAAAGGCCCUGCUUGCAGGGUACUCGAGUGGCGAACGGGUGAGUAACACGUGGGUGAUCUGCCCUGCACUUCGGGAUAAGCCUGGGAAACUGGGUCUAAUACCGGAUAGGAGCCAUUUUUAGUGUGAUGGUUGGAAAGUUUUUUCGGUGUAGGAUGAGCUCGCGGCCUAUCAGCUUGUUGGUGGGGUAAUGGCCUACCAAGGCGGCGACGGGUAGCCGGCCUGGGAGGGUGGACGGCCACAUUGGGACUGAGAUACGGCCCAGACUCCUACGGGAGGCAGAAGUGGGGAAUAUUGCACAAUGGGCGCAAGCCUGAUGCAGCGACGCCGCGUGGGGGAUGACGGCCUUCGGGUUGGAAACUCAUUUCGCUAGGGACGAAGCUUUUUGUGACGGUACCUAGAGAAGAAGCACCGGCUAACUACGUG
rnacentral:rRNA from 1 species